GGUGAAUGCUGGCGGCGUGGAUAAGUCAUGCAAGUCAAGGGGGCCCGCAAGGGCAACCGGCAAACGAGGUAGUAACACGUAGGUAGACCCCCCCAGAGUCGGGCAUAGCCAGCCGAAAGGUUGGGUAAUUCCCGAUAGUCCCGAAAGGGUAAAGGUUUUUCGCUCUGGGAGUUGCCUGCGUAGUAUCGGCUAGUUGGUAGGGUAAUGGCCUACCAAGGCUACGACGCUUAGGGGAGCUGAGAGGCUGACCCCCACCGAUGGAACUGCGACACGGUCCAUACUCCUACGGGAGGCUGCAGACGAGAAUAUUCCGCAAUGGGCGAAAGCCUGACGGAGCGACGCCGCGUGAUUGAUGAAGUGCUUCGGGUACGUAAAGAUCUUUUAUCGGGGACGAAGUUUAUUGACGGUACCCGAUGAAUAAGGGCUCCUAACUCUGUGCCAGCAGCCGCGGUAAU
rnacentral:rRNA from 1 species